rnacentral:rRNA from 1 species
UACGUAGGGUGCAAGCGUUGUCCGGAAUUAUUGGGCGUAAAGAGCUCGUAGGCGGUCUGUCGCGUCGGCUGUGAAAACUUGGGGCUCAACCCCAAGCCUGCAGUCGAUACGGGCAGACUAGAGUGCGGUAGGGGAGACUGGAAUUCCUGGUGUAGCGGUGAAAUGCGCAGAUAUCAGGAGGAACACCGGUGGCGAAGGCGGCCGGCUGGGGGCGCCCUGACGCUGAGGCGCGAGAGCGUGGGGAGCGAACCGG